GGGAAGACUUAUGGUGUGCAGAUGAACCCAACAUAAUUGUUUUAAUAUGACUGGAGCAUACCAAAAAAACAGUUACAGCAGAUCAGCUGUAAGUUACUGAGAGGUCACGCACUGCCUGGACGCGGGAGCCAGGGCUGAUGUCAUCUUCCUGGACUUUAGGAAGACCUUUGACACAGUUUCGCACUCUAUCCUCAUUGGGAAGCUAGCAGACUGCAGAGUGGAUGCCUACAUGGUCAGGUUACAAAACACCUGGACGCAGGAGUAGGGGUUGACAUUGUUUACUUAGACUUCAGGAAGGCCUUCGAUAUGGUAUCCCACCCCAUACUGGUGAACAAGUUAAGAGGCUGUGACUUGGAUGACUGCACGGUCCGGUGAGUGGCGAAUUGGCUAGAGGGUCACACCCAGAGAGUUGU